ACCCUUGUCACGACGUUUUUGGGUAGCAUUUGAUUUCCUGCUGCUUGUUGCUGCUGAACAUAUACGGAACAUAUACGGAAGUAAACCCAAAAAUUAAAUUUACUUCCUCAUCAUUUAUUUUCUAUUUAUCCUGGCUCCAUCUGACAAGCUACGGUUAACCCGGAACUUCGACGCGGCAAUUAUCGCCGGUAUAUAAGGAGAUGCAACUGGGUGAGAGUGCCAUUAACUGGUAUCACAUUAACUUGGCUGAACCAUUGUUCAUUAAUUUUAUCCCCGUCUUGCCGAGCUCAUCUGUUUACGAUGAAGUCAACCGCUGCUAUCAUCACGCUGUGUACCACCGUCACGCUGCUACUCCACUGCAGUGCAGCGGAGUUUGAUAACCCCACGGUCGAAUCUGGGCUCAACACAAUCAACGCGGGAAACGGUAUAGUCAAAUCUGGGAGUGACACCGACAGGCCGACACGGAAAAAGCGUUCGAUUGGAGCCAAAAUGUUACGAACAAUUUCGAAAUGUCUCGACCCAUUAAUGACUUAUGGCUGUCGCGACUGUGAGCAGUCAUGCGCCAACCCCCACCCGCCCCCGAAAUGCGCUUAUCUUUGCGACAGCGCCUGCAUCUGCAAACCGGGUCUAUACCGUACUUUCAUUAACUCGCCGACAUGCGCGCCGCCCAAUGGACCCCUGCUCAACAACUGCAAAGGCAAUAUGCCAGUGCGUAAAGGCUAAACAUGGGCAAGGCCAGAUGGCCGCGGCUACGAAAUUUCUUGCGAUUGGUCGAUAUAGAUAGCAUACGCUGAUUAUCAAUAUUAUUAAUUUCCUGACGGUGUUGCGUACGCGCAGCCAGUCAGCGGUUGCUUUGAACAGAAUUAGUGAUUCUUCUGAUGGUAGCAUAUUAGCAUUUUUGUACAUGCUGCGGACACACAUUGGUGUAAAUAAAAGAGAGGAACUAUCUUGAAAUGUCAAACUGUUAAACUGUUUUUUGUUAAAUUUUGCGCUGUAUUAAAAUUCCACCACCUUUCGUGGGAUGCUGAUUUCGUCUUUGGUCCUGCAGCUAAUUAACGCACUUGAUAGGUUUUGUUAAUUUAGCUUUCGAAAUAAAUGCACACGUCUGGAUACACUUCGUUAUUGUUUCACUCCCACCUUUAACACCCGGCACAAGCCGUUUGAGAUUCACUUACAGGUGCACUGCGCACCACUAUGUAUAGCGAAAGGCAUUACUGACACUGAAAUUGUUAUCCGGAGACACUGAGCCGUUGAAUUAUUGGAUCUUCAUGAGCGCAACAAUCUCGGAUUAUUAGUGUCAAAUCUGCGUUUAAUUGUAAGUCAUUCAACGUGAUGCAGCUACUAACCCAGGAAAACCGGGCACUACAUUAGAAGGGAUGAG